CUCCAAUCAGUCACGUCAUCGGUGUCGGCUGUUGAGCGAGAGAUUCUCAAAACUGGAGUUAUAGUUAGCGAUUUAUUGGACGUUUUUCAUGAUACAAAGAUACAUAAAAAAUUAAACAAUUUUUCGACUCAUAUAUUAAUUAAAAACGCAAAGGUAAAGGUUUUCCAAAUGUUGCCCAUGAAUCAACAGCUGAUGCUCUCGGUAAGCUUUUCAAAAUUAUUUCGCCGUAAAUUCACGAGUUUCAAAUUUUUUGCGCUUUCAGGUGCUUCAGACAGUUGGCACAUACGUAUUCAUCAACAUACAAUUCCUGCUCAGCUCCGAUCGGCAAUCAUAGUUUACUUCUGAGUUCCAUACUGAUGCACUAAUUUCAUUUUAAUUAUAAAGAGCUUCUAAAAUUCUUAUAAAUGUUAUUAUCACUAUUUUUAUGUAAAAAAUGCCAAUAAAAAAGACAUUGUUUUAUGUUCUAACUGUAACUUUUCAAACGUACUAUACUUUGGCAUAUUUUUUUUCAAAUUCACGCUUAACUGCUUUCCUAUUACAAUAAUUCGAAACCCCACUUUUAUUCUCUACAGAAAGCACAAAAAAACUAAAAUUUACGAAAAAUUAAAAAAAAAACAAUUUUUAUUUCAAAUGAUUGGUUAAGAAGUUUAGAUAACGGGAAACUCGAAUGAAAUUGAUUUUUUUUCAUAUAAAGAAAUCGUAAGAUUUUCAACGAUAUUACUUAUAAUAGGGGUUUUCCAACGUUCUUUUAAAAAACUAGCGUAAAAAAUAUUUUUGACUCAACGCUCAAACGCAAUCUGCAAAACGGCGCGAUAUUCAAAAUUCCUUUUUAAAUCUGACCAUUCCACUUUCCCUCGACCAACUUAUUGUUGCGCUUUUUUUCUUCUAGUAUUGCAAUGCGCUAAUGUUUAUGUUAACCUUUAAAUAGACUUAUCAAUGUGCAAAAAUUCUAGCAUAACAAAAAAGUAGGGUUUAUAUCGCUCUCUGAUGACUCCUACAAUACUGAAGAAAAACAGCUGCUCGAAAUAUAUGUUGCGUAUUGCACGAUGCACACGACUCAAACAAGCGCUUACUAUGUACACCGAUUAAAUCGUCAUAAAUACAAAAAAGUGUGAUUUGUCAUCUCCGUAACUGUCCCCUCCGAAAAUUAAUUUAUUGAAAUGCCUCCAAAAAGAAUAACGCGAUCAAUGGUAGACAAUACCAAAGAUAAGAUAGAUAAGAAAAAAAAGAAUCGAGCUUUAAAAACACAAAAAGCUAAAAAAAUAGCCACAAAAACAAGUCGGAAAGAAAGUAAUGCAAGAGAAAGAUUGCUUGAAUAUAAACGAGAAUAUAUGCGAGCGAGGAGAGAAAAAAUCCGAGAAGAUCCGGUUGAGUAUGAAAAUUAUUGCCGCAGUGAAAAAAAGCGAUAUUACAAGAGGAAAGAAGAAGGGAAAAUUAAAAUGGUUCAGGAACUCUCAGUAAAAGAACAACGUGCCAAAAGAAAAUACGACCGUGAAAGAAAGAGGGAAUACCGUGCAUUAAAAAAACAGCAGUUAAUGGAAGACGAGCAACGACCUAUUAAAAAAAAGCUCGUUUCUGUAAAAGAGAGCUCGAGGGAUCAACUUAGACACAGCAGUCAACUUGCCGAGCUGAAAAAUCAAAAUUUAGCAUUGAAGACAGCUUUGAAAAAAAUGACCAAGAAAGUACAAAAGCUCAGAUCAAUUCAAGCAAAACACGCCGAUAUAAUUAAAUCGAACGCUCUGGAUAAUUUAUUGCUAGAUCCAAUGAAUGAUGGUCAGUUAAAAAAUAAUAGGGAACGAAAAGAGGUUGAGGUACGUGACACGGAAUCAUGUGAAGCUAAGUUGACGAACGCGCUUCAAACGUCGUCGGGACUCGAACGCAACGGAGCACCACAGACGUGAGCACCCCAAACGUUCCCAAUAAUACCAUAGAUUUGAUUUCAACUGUGGUAUAUAUAAGUAUCUUAAAAUUAAAAUAUAAUGCAGAACAAUCAUGAUAAAGAGUUCUCUUAGAACCAACAAAGUAAUGUGCCCUAAGAUGUGGUACGGUUGUAAAACAUCGUCAGAGACUACAUUGAGCAGAUCAUCAAGCAGCAGGAUGGUCGUGCAUAUUCAACGGGAUCAAAGACAGCAUAAAGUACAGCAAAGGCAGCAACAGAGGUAGCGAGAACCUCUCAGAGAUAAAAAAGAAUAAACCAGUUUCGAAUGAAAAGCAGUGAAUACGGGGAAAUGUUCUAGCGGCUUGUCAUGGUACUUUGAGUACGUAGUAAUCUUAUAGCGAAACUGACUCCUUAGAGGGACUUAUAACGUUGUAAUAACAUUUUUAAAAUAUUAUUACUUUUUGAGUAUCAGCUUCUUAAAUGUAUAAAGAUGUUGUAUUUGAAACACAUUUGGUUACUUUUACUAGAAAUUUACUAAUAAAUACCAAAAAUGCCACAUGCA